rnacentral:snRNA from 1 species
GUGCUUGCUUCAGCAGCAUGUAUACUAAAAUUGGAACAAUACAAAGAUUUGCAUGGACCCUAGGCAAAGAUGACAUGCAAAUUUGUGAAGCGUUCCAUAUUUUU